CUGCCCGCGUCCGGCUGCGGUCACCCCAGGGAAGGGGCAGGUUUUUUGUUCGCCCCCACUUCUAAAAAUGGCCUAAAAUACGGGGACGUUGGGUCUGGUCACCUGUAGUUUGCCUGGAAGGUGUUUUCUGGGGAGCAGGCAGCUGAAACAGGCAUUUCUAAGGUUAAAAACCCUCUGGAGGGGAAAAAAAAACCCAAAGGAAAAUGACAGCUUGUAGAUCCCUCCUCGUCAGAGGAAAACAAAGGGCACAAAUCUAAUUCUCCCUCGGCAGCAGCCUCCACUUGCUUAUCUCAGGCUUUGCUGUUCAGUCGCAGGCCUCAGAGCUGCCAGACGCUUGCGCAUACGCCAAUAACGAGCACUCCGCUUAUUCCAGGGGCCGUUAACCCCCUGCCUCUGCCCUGAGGGACCAAGGCCUCCAGAAACUCCUGUGAUGCUGUCACCCGACGCGGCGCCCUCCCGAGCACGCGGCGUUGCGUCGCUGAGACACCCGGCGCUGCAGCUGGGAACCGACCGCCCCGUGGUGACGGCGCCCCAGAAACCCCCAGCUGAUGGAAGUAAAGCAACAGUCUUCUAUGAUGCUGAAGAGAAGGACGUAAAAAAAGAUGCAAAAUAUUUAUGGUAUGGAGAUGGAGAGUUGCAUCCUGCUGUGCUGUGCUGUGGAGUCUCUCUUAAAAUGCCCUCGCUCUCAGUCUCCUUUUAAUUUGAUCUUAGCUCAGGUAAUUCUCUUCACCGCGUAGCGCUUCAGUUUUCCCAUUUGCUAAAACAAAGUGAAGGGAUUUUGGCCUUUGUUCCUGCACUGGAAAUGAGGGAGUCCUCCUAAAACUGCAGACUGGGUCUUCUCUCACCCUGUGUAGUCGUUCCAUGUCUUUCCAUCGAAUUAUCCCUGCUUCAUCUCUGCCGGAGCAUGAGGAAUCAUUUGUGUCAGUCUGAGACCGUCUGCAGGAUGGCUGCUCGUUACCGUUGCUCUAAAAGGUAGAAUGUGAACACCCAGUGAUUUUGCAGGGCACUUUGAGAGACAAAGAACAUACACCCAUGGCUGAACCAGCAUGUCAGGCCCUUCUUAGAGACCUCCUGGCGUAGGAGCGAAGUUUGGAAGAGAGCUGUGGGUUCGUGAAGCUUUACCAGGGACAGCCGAUGGCGAAGAUCUUGCGCGUGUCAGCUACCAAAGGAAGAGCAAGGCAGCUGGAUGGGUGCUUUUGGCUCACCAGAGGACUGGCUAUGGCCCCUGGGGUCCCAGCUGGAGUCGAGCAGCUCUGCAGAUCCUUCCUCCAGCUACACCCCUCCCUCCGCAUCCCGCUCAAGCCAGGCGUGACUUGGGAGCGUGGCAAGGAGGUCUCGCUCUGCAGAGCACGGGAACCCGAGGUGAGGCACUGUUGCCCUGAUCCUGGAGGCCACGACGGGAUUUCGCACCCCGGGCAGGAAGCCGCGUACCACGAGUCCCUGCAGGUGCAGGGGCCACCGAUGCAGGACUCGGAUCACAGCGCUGAUGAAUCGGCCCCAAAUGCUCUGCAAUUUACAGCUGAGCUCACCAACCCCUCCUUAAUGCUCGGGAUGCAAAUCAGCGCAGCCCCUGGAAAAUCAGGGAAAAAGAGAGGAAAACUUAAGUUUUCCAUAGAAAAAAAAGAAAACGUCACCUGCAUUUUUAAUGCCAGCAAGGAAUUGCCCACAGAUUUUAAAAGCAGAACAUUCACCUGCUUUAAUUGUUCGUUUUCUUUAAUUUGUUGUUACCUCUUUUAUUUCUCUGCCCUGUACAGACCAAGGUACAUGCUUCGCUCUGCCGUAACAUGUUCUUGGGGUAAGAGCGAACCAAGAAAGGCUUCCCCCAGGGUUCGGUUGCUCUCUAAUGAAAUCAGUGGCAGGGUUCCUGCUGGCAGGAGAGGAGCCCUCACUGACUUUGUAGCGGCUCCUCGAGCGCGUG